AGUCAGGCAGGUGCGAGCCGCUGGCAGCUUCGCGUUCCCGCCGGGCGAGCCGCCCCGGGACAGAGGCGCGCUAGGAGCGCUUGCGCAGCGGCGUCGGCGCAAGGUCCGGCCCCGGGGCAGUCAGUCAGUUGCGGGCGGCUCGGAGGGGGCCUCUCAGCGGACGUGGAGGCUGCGGGACGGGCCGCCCACCGGUUGAACGCUGAAUGCUCAGGCGGCUGAGGAGGAAAAUUGGCACAUAAUGGAUGCUCAUAUCACAUGGAACAAAUCACUUAUUUUCACUGACCAGGAACUGUAUCCAGAAAGAGAGAAAGGCAUGUAAGUUUGUCACUAUUUUUGACAUUUUCUUGAUUUUGAAAGGAAACUUAGUGAUUCUGGUGAUCUAAGUACUGAAAAUAUUUUGGCUUCAUUAGUUUUUCUUCAGCACUGUUUCAAAGACUUUGUAGCAUAAUGCAAAGCUAUCAUUCAUUGAUUUUUUAAAAAGAGCAUCUACUCUCUAUAUGCCCUGUGCUAAGCAGUGUUAGAAAAAUGAGCAAAACAUGGUUGCUGUUUUCCAGUCCCAUAAACCAAAGCAUACCAAUAGAUAUUUUUGAUAUAAUGUAGCUAGCUAAAUGAUAGACAUGUACAAAGGUAUUUUGGGUAUAUUCCACAAUACAGAAAUAUGAAUGUAUACCAAAAGAAUAAAUAAAUAAGGAUCUUUCUAGAUUAUAAGAUGGCAAUGUAAUAUACAAUUGUAUAUUGGAUAAUGGGCUAAGCACCAUAGGUAAACUAAUGAAUAUAAUGGAUAUGACUCCUGAUCCUGUAGAGUUAUAACAUGGUGGGAAAUGUACACUGUACUAGUAAACAAACAAUAUAUAUAUAAAUGCAUAAAUGCAAAUCAUAGAAAGUAUUGAUAUGAAAUGUACAAGGUGUAGUGAUAGAGAAUUGUUGGAAUGAGGGAGAGAGGAAAUUCAUUAAGGUGAUGAGAGAAGAUUUCUCUGAAUAGGUGACUUUUAGACACAGUCUUAAGAUAGAAGAAUACAAGUAGGAGCGGUUUGGGUGGCUCAGUCGGUUGAGCAUGUGACUCUUGAUUUUGGCUCAGGUCAUGAUGUCAGGGUCAUGAGAUCAAGCGCUGCAUUGAACUCUGCACUGAGCACACAAUCUGCUGGAGAUUUUCUCUGUCUCAUGGCCCCCACUUGAGCUCUCUCUAUUUCUCUCAAGUAAAAUACAUACAUACAUACAUACAUAUAUACAUACAUAUAUUUUUUAAAAAGGAAGAAAAAUUCAAGCAGGUAAAGAUCAGAAAUAGCUUAUUCAAGAGAAGGGGAAGUAAAAUCAUGGGUGAAGUUCUUGUGGCAGUAAAGAGUUGGAGGCGAUUGAGGAACAGAAAGGAAAUCAGUAUGGCUGAAACAGUGAAUGGGCAAAGGCAUAAGAGGCCAGAGAAAUAGGAUGGAGUUGGAGAAUACAGGAUCUUAUAAGUCUAUGUGGUAACUAGCUUAAAGUGCAGUGAAAAGCCAUUAAAAUUUGUAAACAGGUCAGUAACAUGAUCUGAUUUAUAUUUAUAAAUUAAGGAGAGGGCUUCCUUUUCCAGAAAGAUCAAGUAGAGAUACCUUUCCUUAUUCCUCCCACUAAAUUAGACUAAAACCUGUGGACAUUAUAUAUAAAACAGACAUAAGAAGACUUUGAAAGAAAAAGAACAAAGUAAAGUAGCAUGGGAACUCAGACCCAAAGAAUGACACGCUGGUGAGUUCUCUGGGUUUUUAAUUUUUUGCUCAUAUAACACAGAGCUGAAGAAGCUGGCACCCUGAAAACAUGGAAGGCACAAACAAAAAAGUCCCAAGAAGAGCCUGAUCUCUAGCUGAGGAUCAGGAAAGGGGCAGCUUAGCAAGGUAGAAAACACUGAAAUAAUAACUACUCUGCUCCAGCCAAAUACCACAGAAAAACUGUGACCCCAUCCCCACCUAUGCCAGCAAAGGCGAAGUAGGGAGCCAAGACUUUUACUUUGCUAGGCUGUAGCAGGGCAUUCCGAUAUCCUUUCAAUGGUGGUGUGAGAGAAAGCCAGGAACUGGGACACUCAUCCUUGCCAGGCAGUAAUGACCCCCCACCUUUUUCUGUUGUCAGUGGAGCCUGAAUUGCUACCUCCACCCAGCAGUAACAGAGUGUCUUCUGGGGUGGUGUCAGAGAAGUCCUUGUAGAGAGUCAAAAGAGUUUGAUCACUGUCCAAUAAUAAUGAGAAUACCUCCCACUUCAUGAUGUCAGCAGAGACCAAAUAGUGAGCUUAAGUAUUGAAAUAACUCCUACCCUUCCCAGCCUCAUAGGUAUUAGUAGAAACCUGUAGGGAAGUUAGAACUCCAUCCAUGGCCCAGAAGUAAUGAGAAGCCUACUCUAAGUUGUCAAUCAAGACUGUAUAGGGAACUGGAUGUUUAUUAGCCCUGGCAGAAAGAAGCCAGCACCCUAGCUUCCUCUGCAGGAACAGUGUCAUAAUUAAAAGAGAAGGUUUAUAUUAUUAGAUCCAGAGAGUCAUAACAUGAUACACAAAAUGUUCAGAUCUCAAAUGAAAUUCACUUGUCAUACCAAGAACCAGGAAGAUAACAAAUUGACUGAAAAAAAAGAUAACAAAAAUGUUAGAAUUAUCUGACAUUUUAAAGCAGCUAUCUUAAAAAUGCUUCAAUAAAUAAUUAAAAUACAUUUGAAACAUAUGAUAAAAUAUGAGAAAAUGUCAACAAA
rnacentral:lncRNA from 1 species